CACCGAACUGAAACAUCGGUUCCCGUACGAUCACCGAAGUUAAGCAAUGUCGAGCCUGGUCAGCACCUAGAUAGGUGACCGCUUGGGAAGUCCAGAUGCUGUAAG